CAAAGUGCUGGGAUUACAGGUGUGAGCCACCACACCUGGCCUUGCAUCAGAUUCAGUACUGAUUAUCUUUUGAACUAUUCAGCUCUAUGGAGGCGCGUGCCCAGGCAUCUGAGGAGCGUCUGUCCUCGGGUGUGCGUCCACUCACAGCGCUGCAGAGAAGACAAUCAGCGUACUGUCGGCACACAGCAGGUACCACUGCCCUCUGAAAUUUCUAGAGGUGCUAUGCCUUGGUUCUUUUUGUGCACAUGAACAUGAACAUCCACAUCAGGAUCUGGAAACCUUUAUAGAAGCUAAAGUUUUAAAAAGAAAAUGAAUGGGAUUUUAUUCAAGAUAAGGAAAGGACAAGAGUGAAUCAUCAAAUGAAACCAUGAGGCCACUUCGCAAAUAUUUUAUCAAAAAACUCACCUGAGAAAACUCAAAAGAACCACAGUAAUAAGCUACAUAUGCCAUAUUUUUCCUUUUUUGAAAAGCCAAGAAGCUACUACUAAGAAUGUAUUCAAGAGAAGGAAGUUCCAAGAUGCGUCACAGGGUCAAGUGGGCUCAGCUUAGUUUCCCGGGCCCUCUAUAACACUUUAUGUUCAGAAUCGUCUCUAAAGAAAAGCAGUUUAAAGGACCAUUCAUUAUGGGUGUCUUUGCUGUGCUUGCAGUCUUAAGUCUGUGGACACUGAUACUCUAUCAAUGGAAAAUUGAGCCUUUAGUGAACUUGAAUACCCUGUUCCCCAGUCACUGCCCAGAGAGCAGUUCCUGAGCUGCCAAUAUGUCAGAGGCAGGAAAAGUGCAGCUAAAAGGCAAAGGAGAAAAACAGAAGACACAUGCCUUUACACGUGUAUGUUAAGCUAAAUAACCGUGAUUAAAUAUCACCAAAACCCA